UACGAAGGGGGCUAGCGUUGCUCGGAAUCACUGGGCGUAAAGGGCGCGUAGGCGGCCGAUUAAGUCGGGGGUGAAAGCCUGUGGCUCAACCCCCGGAACUGCCUUCGAUACUGGGUAUCUUGAGUUCGGAAGAGGUGAGUGGAAUUGCGAGUGUAGAGGUGAAAUUCGUAGAUAUUCGCAGGAACACCAGUGGCGAAGGCGGCUCACUGGUCCGAUACUGACGCUGAGGUGCGAAAGCGUGGGGAGCAAACAGG
rnacentral:rRNA from 1 species